rnacentral:rRNA from 1 species
UACAGAGGGUGCAAGCGUUAAUCGGAAUUACUGGGCGUAAAGCGUGCGUAGACGGUUGCGUAAGUCAGAUGUGAAAGCCCCGGGCUCAACCUGGGAAUUGCAUUUGAGACUGCGUAGCUAGGGUGCGGAAGAGGGAAGCGGAGUUUCCGGUGUAGCGGUGAAAUGCGUAGAUAUCGGAAGGAACACCAGUGGCGAAAGCGGCUUCCUGGUCCAGCACCGACGUUCAGGCACGAAAGCGUGGGGAGCAAACAGG